rnacentral:rRNA from 1 species
AGCGAACGCUGGCGGCAGGCUUAACACAUGCAAGUCGAGCGGGCAUCCUUGUGGUGUCCGCGGCAGACGGGUGCGUCACGCGUGGGAAUGUGCCGUUCGGUUCGGAAUAACUCAGGGAAACUUGAGCUAAUACCGGAUACGUAAGAGAGCAGAACGGUUUAUCUCACGAGGGUUAGGCUCGAGUCUGAUUAGUUAGUUGGUGAGGUUACGGCUCACCAAGGCGACGAUCAGUAGCUGGUCUGAGGGGAUGAUCAGCCACACUGGGACUGAGACACGGCGCAGACUCCUACGGGAGGCAGCAGGGGGGAAUAUGGGACGAUGGGGGCAACCCUGAGCCAGCCAUGCCGCGUGAGUGAUUACGGCCUUAGGGUUGUAGAGCUCUGUUCUCCGGGACGAUAAUGACGGUACCGGAGGAAUAAGCCCCGGCUAACUUCGUG